rnacentral:rRNA from 1 species
CAGUCGCCGCGGUAAUACGUAGGGAGCGAGCGUUGUCCGGAUUUAUUGGGCGUAAAGAGCUCGUAGGCGGCUUGGUAAGUCGGAUGUGAAACCUCCAGGCUCAACCUGGAGACGCCAUCCGAUACUGCUAUGGCUUGAGUCCGGUAGGGGCCCACGGAAUUCCUGGUGUAGCGGUGAAAUGCGCAGAUAUCAGGAGGAACACCGGUGGCGAAGGCGGUGGGCUGGGCCGGUACUGACGCUGAGGAGCGAAAGCGUGGGGAGCGAACAGGAUUAGAUACCCCAGUAGUCCCUGUCUCUUAUA